AAACUUCCACAUUAGAAGGUUACUAAAAGCAUAGGCACGAGAAUCCAAAAAAACAGAAAAUUCAAACAAGUUUAGUCAAUCAUGUAUAAAUGCACAACAAAAUUCAAGGGUAAGAACAUAAAGCUUCGCUGGAUCUCGUGCCAAAGUGUCUACAUUCUACCUCAGUCGUUGCUUGUGUUGCUCAAAAGGAUGAAGCAUACAAACAAUAACACAAAUUCAAAAUAAAGAGAUUCACAACAUGAUUGAUUAGACGUAGCAUGAAACAUAAUGCAAACACCACCGCAGAGAAACAAAUGACAAUGAAAAAUCCUAAUAUAUGGUGAUCAAAUCUGAAAAAAUCAAAUAAAGAGGAAAUUCAAACCCAAUCUUUUUAUUUUGAUAGAUCUCUGUCACCAAAUAAAAAUUGCAUUCAAAUAGCUAGUCACAAAUGAACACAAGAGAAAAAUGUAAGGGUAACACUGUCUAAGGCUUCAACUGAUCCCCCAUGCUUCUAAAUGUCCUGACACAUCCAUUGCUCGUGUUACCUGUAAAGAGAAAAAUUUCUAGAAAACUAAAAAAAACUCGUUCUAGAGGAGGAAUUUUAGAAAAUAUUAGAUGAAUUCAAUCAGUAAACCACUGUUGAAAACCAAAUCAAAAUUUAAUACUAAUGUUGGUGAUCAGUCCUUAGAAGUAAAUAAAAGGUGGAACCUCAUAAAAGAAAUUAGGCUAUUACAAGUUCUUGUCUUUUCAAGUUGAACAUGCCGAUGGUAGCGCUCAAACAAAUCCUUUCCAAAAGCAUUGUUGUUAAAAAAUAUUCAAAAUAAAUCUGGAUAUACUUGUACAUUGUAUAAAAGAACUACCAUGAAAUACUAAAGGGUAACUCCCCAAAUUUCAGAGAAACAAAGUUGUCUCAUACUACUCUAAUUAUAGAAACUUAAUGCCUUAACAUUGGUUCAAUUCCUGAUGUGCAAACAAGGAAAUCUGAUACUGCCAGCUUACCACACAUUACUGAAAAUUGAAACCAAGUCAAAACCCACAGAAGAAGAUAGCAAGCCUAGAAUUAUCAGAUAAAACCAAGGUAGCCGUAGUCUCAUUCCUAAAAAUAAGUUUGUGACACAGAACUUUUCGAAAAUGCCCGACUUAAGAUUGGACAUCACAUGUUGUUUUGACUAAAAUUAACAAAUUCACCUCCAAAAUACAAUUCCUGUCCAGAGUCCGUUCUGACUGAAAUUGACAAAUUCACCUCUAAAACUUCAUUAUCUUUAUCGCAUACACUUCUUGUCCAAAUAGAACAAAUAUGAAAAAAAAUGAACUGAAAGGUUUAGGAUAACUAAUAAAAGAAGUCCAAUUAUCUAUCGCCAUGUCAUAAUGUUAACUUUCAAGCCCAAGUGGUUACAGAAAUAUUUCGAAAACACUCAACUCAAUAAACAAUGAAGGAAACAAAAGAAAAAAAAAAUCUAUCACUAGUUGUUCAGACAUGUUAGCCGUCCCACUAUAUAUAUAUUCCAUCACUGGUUGAGUUAUAAAUCUCAAAUAAAGACUCAAUGUGCUGCAAACAAAUAAAAAUAAAUGCAAAUUUCAAAACUAGACGAACGAGAAACCCAAAUGGAGAUUAAAGUGAAACAUUUAAAAUAAUUUCAAGAACAAAUUUCAAAAAUUUCCACCAAAGAGACACUGUUGUAACUCAUAAUAGGCUCAGACAUUGCUGUCACUCAUAAUAGGCUCUCAGACAUUGUUGUUUCAGGAUCAGAUUUCAAAAAUUUCCACCAAAGAGACAUUGUUGUCACUCAUAAUAGGCUCAGACAUUGUUGUCACCCAUCAUAGGCUCUCAAACAUUGUUGUUUUAGGAUCAGAUUUCAAAAAUUUCCACCAAAGACAUUGUUGUCACUAAUAAUAGGUUCUUGGACAUUGUUGUCACCCAUAAUAGGCUCUUAGACAUUCCUGUCAGCCAUAAUAGACUCUCAAACAUUGGUGUCAUCCAUAAUAGGCUCUCAGACAUUGUUGUCACUCAUAAUAGGCUUGCAGGAGAUUACAUGCAGCAAUUCCCAUCAAGUUCACAACUCAGCCCAUAUGUUUGGUAUGAAUCGAAAGGUUUCGGAAAACUAUACAAGAGCCAAAGACCUAUUAGAAGAUUAUCCAGAAAAGCAUCAAAAUUGAGUAGUAGAACUUUUCAAACCAAGGAGUAAACCAUAAAAUCAAAAGAGUAAAAGCCAACCGCAGUUCUCCAAUGCUCAUCCCACAAGAUGCCUCUUAUGAACCAUAAACCAUCAAAAUACAACCAAGAUUAUAAUCAAACCAACAAUGUACAGGCGAAAGAAACAUUUAGCUUCACAAAUAAAAUAAUUGAAUUUCCACAAUUUAAUCCUUGGAGAUCAAAUAGAGAAAAUAAUUCAAACAUCGAACACCAGUCAAUCCAACAACAGAGAGGAAACUAAUCGAGAAAUUAGGAUAUACUGAUGCAGCCGUUUUAAACCCUUUUUAGGGAUUAGUGUUUCAAAUAUCAGAAACUCGAAUUGCUGAAGGGGAAUGAACACCAACACCAAGUUAAGCUAUCACAAAUAAACGCAAAAGAAAGCACAAGAGUAACAGAACAUAAUACUUCACAUCAUGUCCUACACCACGCAUCCAUUGUGUCUUCCAUGUACAACCCAAAAAUUCAAGAAACGAAUUACUGUACAGUCAAAAAUUCAAGGAAACGAACUAAGCUCUUAAUAAAAAGAAGUAUAGAAAAGAUGAGGAUGCAGAUAAAGACUAAAAAGACUUGGACGUUACACAACUAAUCCGAACACCACUGCAGAUAAACAAAUCAUAAUUCAAUCUUAUUAUCGAUGAUCAAAUACCAGAUAAAUUAAAUAACAAAAAGAAGACUAAAAGAAUACUUGAUCAAUUGGCCUUCUGAACUAUUAUGCUUUCCGUUUCAUCCACUGAAAAAACAGGAAUUUGAUCAAAAGGUUCAAAACUCGCCAUCAUCACAUAAAGAAUCAUAUUCGGAGUAAACGAUCUUCAAUCCCAUAGAAGCGUAAAUGAAUCUACUAAUAAUUCUUACGUUCUUCAAUACCAUAAACGCACAUUGAUCACCAAUUAGUAAUUCUUAAUAACUCUUGCGUUCUUCAAUCCGAAAACACAAACAUCAUAUAAUUAGACAAAGCAGAGAAUCAAGAAGUGUGAACUAAUAAGAAGCACAACAAUCCCCCGAAGCAAUAGUAAAAAAAUUCAAUCACCGAAGCAAUACCAUCAAUAACAACAAAACUCAAUAGUCAAGAAAGAUCUUAGGUAUAUAUAGAAA
rnacentral:lncRNA from 1 species